GAUGAACGCUGGCGGCGUGCCUAAUACAUGCAAGUCGAGCGGACAGACGAUGAGCUUGCUGCUCGGACGUUAGCGGCGCGCGUGUGUGUAACACGUGUAUAACCUACCUAUAAUACUGGUAUAACUUGGAGAAACCGGCUCUAAUACCGUAGAAUAUAUUGAACCGCAGGGGGGGAUAGUGAGAGACGGCUGUUCGGUCACUAAUAGAUGGAUCUGCGCCGUAUUAGAUAGUUGGUAAGGUAACGGCUUAUGAAGGGAACGAUGCGUAGACGAACGAAGGGGGUGGUCGGCGACACUGGAACGGAGCCACCGUCCAGACUCCUACGGGAGGCAGCAGUCGGGAAUCUGCCGCAGUGGGCGAGAGCCUUACGGAGCAACGCCGCGUCAGUGAUGACGAUGUUGCGAUCGUAAAGAUCUGUUAUUAGGGAAGAACAACUGUCUACGUAGAUAUGCACGUAUUGACGGUAACUAGUAAGAAAGCAACGGCUAACUACGUG
rnacentral:rRNA from 1 species